rnacentral:rRNA from 1 species
GACGAACGCUGGCGGCGUGCUUAACACAUGCCAGUCGAGCGGUAAGGCCUUUCGGGGUAUUCUAGCGGCGAACGGGUGAGUAACACGUGGGUGAUCUGCCCUGCACCUUGGGAUAAGCCUGGGAAACUGGGUCUAAUACCGGAUAUGACCUCCUUUUGCUUGGUGGGUUGUGGCAAGAUUUAUCGGUGUGGGAUGGGUCCGUGGCCUAUGAGUUUGUUCGUGAGGUAAUGGUCUACCAAGGCGACGCCGGGUAGCCGACCUGUGAGUGUGACCGGCGACAAGGGGACUGAGAGAGGGAGCAGAAGCGAACGGGAGGCAGUAGGGGGGAAUAUGGCAGAAUGGGGGAGAGUCUGAUGCGGAGACGCUGGGUGAGGGAUGACGGCCUUCGGGUUGUAAACAUAUGUCAGCGGGGACGAAGAGAAAGUGACGGUACCUGCUGAAGAAGCAACGGCUAACUACGUG